rnacentral:rRNA from 1 species
UACGAAGGGGGCUAGCGUUGUUCGGAAUCACUGGGCGUAAAGGGCGCGUAGGCGGCCGAUCAAGUCGGGGGUGAAAGCCUGUGGCUCAACCACAGAAUUGCCUUCGAUACUGUUUGGCUUGAGACCGGAAGAGGUAAGUGGAACUGCGAGUGUAGAGGUGAAAUUCGUAGAUAUUCGCAAGAACACCAGUGGCGAAGGCGGCUCACUGGCCCGGUACUGACGCUGAGGUGCGAAAGCGUGGGGAGCAAACAGGG